rnacentral:rRNA from 1 species
GCGAAUGGCUCAUUAAAUCAGCUAUGGUUUAUUGGAUCGUACCCGUCAAAUGGAUAACUGUAAUAACUCUAGAGCUAAUACAUGCCACGAAGCCCUGACUUGUGUCGCUCUUUGGGGCGGUACAGGGAUGGGUGCUCUUAUUAGAUCAGAAACCAACCGAGUCGUGGCCAGCUUGCUGGUUAUGGCUUGUUGUCGUUCUGGUGACUCUGGAUAAUUGUUACAGAUCGCAGUCGGCCUUGAGUCGGCGACGGGUCCUUCAAAUGUCUGCCCUAUCAACUUUCGAUGGUAGGCAAUCUGCCUACCAUGGUGAUAACGGGUAACGGGGAAUCAGGGUUCGAUUCCGGAGAGGGAGCCUGAGAAACGGCUACCACUUCCAAGGGAGGCAGCAGGCGCGCAAAUUACCCACUCCCGGUACGGGGAGGUGGUGACGAAAAAUACCGAUGCGGGACUCUUCAAGAGGCUCCGUAAUCGGAAUGAGUGAACUCUAAAUCCUUUCACGAGGAUCAAUUGGAGGGCAAGUCUGGUGCCAGCAGCCGCGGUAACUCCAGCUCCAAUAGCGUAUAUUAAAGUUGCUGCAGUUAAAAAGCUCGUAGUUGGAUCUCGGUUGCACUGUUGCCCGCCAUUGCUUGACCAGAUGGGUGCCCGGUGUUGCAUUGGCCGAGUGCCGUGUUCGCCGUCGGUGUCCGACUGUUGCCAAGUUGGUGUGGUGUCGGUGUCACCUUUUAGCCAUGUCUGUGGUGAAAUACCCACAGGUGUAGGCGAGUGUCGGGCGGUGCCUUGCACACGUAGGGUCCGUCGGCUCGUCUGCAUGCCUUUGGAUGCCCUUCAAAAGGUGUCUGUGGGCGGAUGGCACGUUUACUUUGAACAAAUUUGAGUGCUCAAACCAGGCCGCUGUAGCCUGAAAAGUUUUGCAUGGAAUAAUGGAAUAGGACUUCGGUUCUAUUUUGUUGGUUUUCGGAUCCGAAGUAAUGAUCAAAAGAGACAGGCGGGGACGUUUGUAUGGUUGCGCUAGAGGUGAAAUUCAUGGACCGUAACCAGACAGACUAAAGCGAAAGCAUUCGUCAAGCAUGUUUUCAUUGGCCAUGAGCGAAAGUCAGAGGCUCGAAGACGAUCAGAUACCGUCCUAGUUCUGACCAUAAACGAUGCCAACUGACGAUCCGUGGUGGUAGUUUAAUAACCGUCCCCACGGGCAGCCCCCGGGAAACCUUUAAGUCUAUGGGUUCCGGGGGAAGUAUGGUUGCAAAGCUGAAACUUAAAGGAAUUGACGGAAGGGCACCACCAGGAGUGGAGCCUGCGGCUUAAUUUGACUCAACACGGGAAAACUCACCCGGGCCGGACACUGUGAGGAUUGACAGAUUGAAAGCUCUUUCUUGAUUUGGUGGUUGGUGGUGCAUGGCCGUUCUUAGUUGGUGGAGCGAUUUGUCUGGUUAAUUCCGAUAACGAACGAGACUCUAGCCUGCUAAUUAGUGCGCCUGUCCUCUGUUCCUGUGCAGGCGGCUCUCAGCGCUACUGCCUUGCUAUGCUAGGCUGCCUGUGUGCGGUGCGCUCACAGUCGGUUGCCUUGCCAGUGUGCCGGUACGUGCGUCUGCGUGCGCGUGCGCUCAUGUCGAGUCGGCAUGUUUGUCUCACGACGAUGGCUGGCUUGUGUGGGUGUGUGUGUGUGCGACCGUGUGCUGGUGCGCCGGUGUUCGGGUGGCUGGCUAACAAGUGGGUGUGCAUGCGCUUGGUGGUCCGGUUGAGGCGGUGGAGUUCGGGCUUGCUUCCGGGUACGGCGCAGGUGUCUACUUCUUAGAGGGACAAGCAUACACAAAUGCACGAGAUUGAGCAAUAACAGGUCUGUGAUGCCCUUAGAUGUCCGGGGCCGCACGCGCGCUACAAUGACGGUGCCAACGAGUCUGACCUCCUGGCCCGAAAGGGUUGGGCAAACUGGUCAAUCACCGUCAUGUCAGGGAUCGGGGCUUGGAAUUGUUCCCCGUGAACCAGGAAUUCCUAGUAAGUGCAAGUCAUAAGCUUGCGCUGAUUACGUCCCUGCCCUUUGUACACACCGCCCGUCGCUACUACCGAUUGAAUGGUUUAGUAAGGUCCUUGGAUCGGUGCCAUUGCAGCGGCUGCCGCAAGGCAUGCCCGCUCGACAGGCGCUGAGAAGACGACCAAACUUGAUCAUUUAGAGGAAGUAAAAGUCGUAACAAG